rnacentral:rRNA from 1 species
CACGUAGGGGACGAGCGUUGUCCGGAAUCACUGGGCGUAAAGGGCGCGUAGGCGGCCUGAUAAGUAGGGGGUGAAAUCUCGCGGCUCAACUGCGAGGCUGCCUCCUAAACUGUCGGGCUCGAGCACAGUAGAGGCAGGUGGAAUUCCCGGUGUAGCGGUGGAAUGCGUAGAGAUCGGGAAGAACAUCGGUGGCGAAGGCGGCUUCCUGGACAACUACUGACGCUGAGACGCGAAAGCGUGGGGAGCAAACAGG